GAUGAACGCUGGCGGCGUGCCUAACACAUGCAAGUCGAGCGAAGAUAGAGACGAGUACUUGUACAAAUUUUUAUCUUAGCGGCGGACGGGCGAGUAACACGUGAGUAACCUGCCUUUCACUGGGGAAUAACAUCGAGAAAUCGGUGCUAAUACCGCAUAAUGUCACGAGAUCGCAUGGUUUUGUGACCAAAGGAGCAAUCCGGUGAUAGAUGGACUCGCGUCCGAUUAGAUAGUUGGUGAGGUAACGGCCCACCAAGUCAACGAUCGGUAGCCGAACUGAGAGGUUGAUCGGCCACAUUGGGACUGAGACACGGCCCAGACUCCUACGGGAGGCAGCAGCAGGGAAUCUUGGGCAAUGGGCGAAAGCCUGACCCAGCGACGCCGCGUGGAGGAAGAAGUCCUUCGGGGCGUAAACUCCUGGACUGGGGACGAGGAAGGACGGUACCCCAGUAGGAAAGGGACGGCGUAACUACGUGCCAGCAGCCGCGGUAAAUAGCGUACU
rnacentral:rRNA from 1 species